CAGUUCAGCGGGCGAUUCGAUUCAUCCUCGCUUUUGGUGCACCAUGUGCGUUGCUCUAUCUCUUCAGCAUAUCCACCAAGGUGUUCGCUUUUGAAGGUCUGGACGGUCAGCAAACUCUGUUGCAACGAAGGUAGCCUGCGGUGGGCUAAUCUUCAAACAAAGUGCUGAAGACGGUCUGGAAGACACCCGUGAGUGCAGCCAUAUAAUUUUUUAUGCCGUUGUAAAAUGCCAGUACCAACUCCCGCUGAGAGCGUAGAGGCCUUCGCAGCUCCUGUGAUUGAAGGGCCCGAUAACUACGCUGUGCGAAGUGCCCUCAUGGCUCACUUUCUGGACUUCGUACACAUCUACAAAGAGCUCCAGGAAAAAUAUUACCUCAUGAACAUUAACGCAGUGAACAUGAUGAAUAUGUUGAGCGCACUAGUAGUGCGACUGGAACGUUUGGACGAUUUGAUGAGUGCUAUGAACUUGCGAAUGUAGUUGCAAGAAAUUAUGUGACAAAACUUGUUCGACGGUAGCCACCUUGCGCCUGGCAAUUCCUGUCUCUUUGCUGUCAAAUUUUGUCAAUGUUGUCAUGUACAGUUUUGUUAUAAGCUGCGUAUUAUCUACGAAAUAUCCUCGCCAACAUUCCGCAGUUUUGCAGCAGUGCCAGUUUAUAGUUAGCACGUCUCAACUCGGUAUUUUAGGGCUCAUUUCCUUCGUGGCAGGCAUUGGGGGUAUUCUCUACUGUUUACUAGCGCCACCGCUCCUCACUUAGUACGGCGGUGUUGUGCAAGCCUUCUUCUAUAAGCAGUCCCAGUACAUGCGAAGGACGAAAGAUCACCGGACUUCGUUAUUGAGUGUAUGUUUUAAUUUGUAAG